AUUGAACGCUGGCGGCAGGCCUAACACAUGCAAGUCGAACGAGUGGCGGACGGGUGAGUACUUUCUGGGAAACUGCCCGAUGGCGGGGGAUAACUACUGGAAACGGUAGCUAAUACCGCAUACCAUCGGAUGUGCCCCGAUUGGCUUAUCUAGGAGGUGGGGUAACGGCUCACCUAGGCGACUAUCCCUAGCUGGUCUGAGAGGAUGACCAGCCACACUGGAACUGAGAAACGGUCCAGACUCCGACGGGAGGCAGCAGUGGGGAAUAUUGCACAAUGGGCGCAAGCCUGAUGCAGCCAUGCCGCGUGUAUGAAGAAGGCCUUCGGGUUGUAAAGUACUUUCAGCGGGGAGGCGUUACCCGCAGAAGAAGCACCGGCUAACUCCGUGCCAGCAGCCGCGGUAAUAC
rnacentral:rRNA from 1 species